CCUACGGGAGGCAGCAGUGGGGAAUAUUGGGCAAUGGGCGCAAGCCUGACCCAGCAACGCCGCGUGAAGGAAGAAGGCGUUCGGGUUGUAAACUUCUUUUCUCAGGGACGAAGCAAGUGACGGUACCUGAGGAAUCAGCGACGACUAACUACGUGCCAGCGGCCGCGGUAAUAAGUAGGGGACAAGCGUGAUCAGGCUUUACUGGGGGUAAAGGGGGAGAAGACGGCGAUGGAAGCCAGGAGUGAAAGCACGGGGCCCAACCCCGGGACUGCUCAUGGAACGGCGUGGCUGGAGUGCAGGAGGGGAAGGCGGAAGUCCUGGUCUAGAGGUGAAAUGCGUAGAUAUCAGGAGGAACACCGGUGGCGAAGGCGGCCUGCUGGACUGCGACUGACGUUGAGGCCCGAAAGCGUGGGGAGCAAACAGGAUUAGAGACCCCGGUAGUC
rnacentral:rRNA from 1 species